UCAAGAGGACAGGACAAGUCUCAGCAUUUUUAAUCGGUGGACCAAACCUGCGUUGUCUCAACACUCCAGGCCGCUGCUGCUGCUGCUGCUGCUGGUGGUGGUGAUGGUGAUGGUGGUGGUGAUGGUGGUGGUGAUGGUGCACUGGUGAGGGGAAUGUUUUCACGGCACACCUUGUGUUCCUUAAUACGAAUCAAUCAUAGCUUGAAUCAUAAGGUAAGAUAAGGUUCGACAUCGAUCUGUGGCUGACUUCACCUGACUUGAUGGUCAACAUGAACCACCAGUGACUGCAGGUGUGGGGAAAAAAAAGGUCUGCAGUACAGUCGACAACAGUCUACUUCCGCGUAGCGUGACGCACGUUGACGCAACGAUAACAAAAUGGCGGGCGCGGCAUUUACCCUUUUUUUUUUUAUAAGGCAGAAGAAAUCAAUGUUUAAGAAAUCCUCAUCACGGUGCAUGGCGAAUUCAAUCAACACCGCAGGAAUGAUUGGUGGAGGAUGUCAUCCCUCUCAUCAGUCUGCCUGAGUGUAGCGCUCAUUUCAGGCUUUCUGAAGCACAAGUGCAGAAGGCCUCCUGCCAAGAAAGCCGAAUAACCUCAGCUCACCUCGCCACUGUACACCUACUCCAUGUUUUGAAAAGGCCUUACUUUGGCACCAUCUUGUGACCAUCCGGUGGUAGUGAGUCUAAAUGGAAAUGCAUUUCUAAAGUGAACAAUGAUGUUAAGGGUCCUUAAGCGACUGUGAAUACUUACUGCAUUAAAGUAUACUACA